rnacentral:tRNA from 2 species
GGAACCGUGCCCGAAUACUUAGGGAUCACUUUGAUAGAGUGACACAUAGGGGUUAAAGUCCCCUCAGUUCUU